rnacentral:tRNA from 1 species
CCCUGGAACCUUUGCUCCCUUCGGCUUAUGGGGAAUGAAACAAGUUUCCUAAAACGGACCCAAGGGCCUCCCAUCGCCGUCCCUUCCCUGCCUCCAAGGCCUUGUCCCCGCCACCUCCUUCGAGGCCCCGGCUUCUUUCCUCGCUUCUGUCUGGCCCGGCUCGCGCUUCCAGCACUCAUUCGAUUUUUCUCGUUCUGCUUAGACUAGGGGUACUUAAGCUGCGGCCCUUGACUGGAAUUCUGGGGGCUGAGACCCCUUUCGAAUUAUAUGCAGAAUGAACGGUAGGAGCGGCUGUGGAUUGCUGCUCUGCUGCUGCUGCUGGUGGGUUUUUAUCAAACUCAAAUGCUGAAGACCCUCGUAGGACUGGCUCUUCACAGAACUAAUAGGGGACCCACUUUGUGUGUCUGUGGGCUCUUUGUCAGCACAGGGCCUGGCACAGGUGUCCCCUGGUGCUUAUGAGAGGGAAGAGAGUAUAUCCUGUUUCUCCCGGCCACUGGCUGCACACACCUCAACCUGCUCCCCGGCACACUUGGUGUUCCCUGCACACAACUCUUGAUUGCUGCUGGAAUCAUUCGUUCAUUCGUCCUUCUGUCAAACCUUAAUUGAGCCUGCGAUCUGACCCUGGAUUUUCUUUCUUCAUCCAUAAAUUUGGGGACGAGUGAGGGCUUUACAGGGGUAAAGCAAAACUUUAGGAUCCCUUGCUGGCCUGCAUCUGGAUUCUGAUUCUGCCGGUGACUAGCUGGUGAGCUUGGGUAAAUCAAUCUCUCAGAAUCUCAGUGUUCUCAUCUGAAAAAAUCUGGGGAUUAUCAUCAGUCUAGUUGUGAGCAUUUGAUAAGAUGCUAUGUGCAGAGGGACAGUCCUGCACAUUGUAGGUGCUCGGGAAGUAUCACCUCCAUUCUUUCUCCUCUUCCAGCUUUGAAGAGCCUGCGACAGUUUGAGGUAGAAUCUAGAUGGGCCCCAGGGCUGAGAACAGCUGAAACUUGUUGGGCUGAGUAAAUUGGGCCUUGCUUCUCUUUGACACCUCAAGGAGAAAGUUAAUGGCAGGAGCUGAGCUCUGCUGGAACUAAAAAGAUUAGAUGAACACAUCAGGAGUUCUCUUGUGGCUCAGUAGGUUAAGCAUCCAGCAUUGUCCCUGCAGAGGCUUGGGCUGCUGCUGUGGUGCAGAGUUGAUCCCUGGCCCAGGAACUUCCACAGGUCUGGGGUGUGGCCCCCCAGAAAGAGAUGAGCAGGUCAGUCACUCCUGAGGUCAAGGAGACCUCCCUGACUACACAUGCUCAGAAAGACUCCUUGGGGGUCAAAAGGGGGGGGCUGACAUCCCAUAAUAGGUAUUGCCAACCUCUCAUAAACCCUGCACUGGAAUCCAUCUUGGCUGAAAGUUGUGUAUGCGUAUCAGGGAGUGCCGGGGUCUGAACAGGUGUGAGAAAUAAAACAAGUUCAAAAAGAUCAAAGGAAAACAAAGACCUGGAAGAAUGCCCUACAUAAGUGAUUUUUUUGGAGGGAGGGCCAUGUCUCUGGCAUUCAGAAGUUCCCAGGCCAGGGACUGAACCUGUGCCACAGCUGCAACUGGAGGCACAGCAGUGACAAGGCCAGAUCCUUAACCUGCCUACCCACCAGGGAACUCCCCUUACGUAAGUGAUUUAAAUCACCCCUUGGGCAGGGACAUCCGCACUCCUCUCUGAGUGUGCUGUUUUGCUUCUCAGCUGCCUGUGUGCUCUUCCACAUGUGCUGUGCUUAUAGUAAUAAACUCCACGUCUGUUUCAUAGCUUCCAUCACUUUGUAAAAUUUUGUUUACAAGGCAGACAAGAUCCAGCGGCUCUGCUUCCAGCCACUAGCCUCCCAUGGUGUAGUGGUUAGGAUUCCCGGUUCUCACGCUGGCUGUCCAGGUUCAGUUCCUGAGCAGGGAAGUAAGCUCUCACCUCAAGCCAUCACUCACUGCUCACUGCUGUCUCCCCGAGCUCAGUGAAGCUGGAGAAAUGUAACCGAGCUGAUGUUGCUCCGGGCGCCCUCUGGUGGUGAGGAGGCUGCGGGGCAGCACAGAGGCCUCAGAGGCCAACGGACCUGGCUGGUGCCAAAUGUCGCACUGAGAAGUGACACAAGUUAAAAACACCCAACCAACAAACAAAAUGAAUGAACACUUGUAAAACCAGUGCACAGUCCAGAAAUAUAUACACCUUUGGAACACUCACCUGGUUUUGCACAUAGAGUAUAUGAUAGAAUGUAUCAUAUACUGUUUUGGAAUGUGCUUGUUUCAUCUAAACAUAUAUUUAGUGUAAACUUCCCACGUGAGAACAUAUAGUUUUAACACAUUCUCCUUUAAAAAAAAACUUUUAUGGAGCAGGUGAGGGCAUAAAAUACACUUUUUUUUUUUUUUUUGUCUGUUUAGGGCCACACCUGCUGCAUACAAGUUCCCAGGCUAGGGGUCCAAUCAGAGCUGCGGCUGAUGGCCUACACCACAGCCACAGCCACAGCCACUUGGGAUCCAAGCUGCCGUCUGUGACCUACACCACAGCUCCCAGCAAGGCCUGAUCCUUAACCCACUGAUCCAGGCCAGGGAUGCAACCUGCAUCCUCAUGGAUACUAGUUGGGUUCAUUACUGCUGAGCUACAGUGGGAGCUCCCCUAGAGAUAUUUUAAAAAUUCACAACCUAGAAAGAGCGCCAGUGGCAGGCAGCACAGAGAAUGAUCCCCAAACACACAGCUCCGACAUCCCGCCAAAUAUGCAGACGAGGCGGGGGCCAGCACCCACCAGUUCAGGGCUUUCCUUUCUCUGGGUCUACUUCAUUUUCUGUCAAACAAGGGUUUGGAGGGGUUCCCUGAUGGUCUCGUGGUUAGGAUGCAGUGCUCUCACUGCUGCGGCCUGGGUUGAACCCCGGUCUGGGAACUGAGAUCCCCACAUCAGGUGCCACAGCCACAAAACCCCACGAGGGUUUUGGACUAGACCAGGGUUCCUGGAAUUCAGAUUCCACAAGUCAGGAGGCAGAUCUGCAUUACUGCCCUAUUAUUAAUUUUCCAGGGCACGGGGGAUGGCACAUAGUACUGCCAACUGUUUUCAGGUAGGGAAUUAUAAACCCCCUACUGUUUACGGUUGCCAUUUCAUGAAGCUUUAUUGCCAGGAUUGGAGGAAAAGCUUGCCGGGUGAAGGAUGGGGCCAAAGGAAGGGACUGGCUCUGCUGCCUUUCCUUGUAUCUCCAUGACAGGAGAGCACGCUGUCCUGGGCAGACUGGUGGUGGGGACCCGUGCGUGGCCAUCAGAGUUACGACAUGGUCCCACCUUAGGCUGUCACCUUCGGUGGAGCAGAUCGGGGUCUCGGCAACACGCCAACACAAGCGAGGGGCCAGGACUUGGGAGAGGUGGCUCCUGUCCUGGCACUGCUGCUCCGCCGGGCUGCCAGGGGCCCCAGUCUCCUCACUCUGGGAGGUGACGGUGGAGCAAAAAGCUCGCCAGGGAUGAGAGGCUGGUUGCCAUUACUUGACUGCUUCUUGGUUUGGGCAGAGCGGGACCCUGGUGUCCACGCAGUUCUGAACGAGUGGGUGACACCAGGACGCCUCCUUUGCUGGCGAUCCGCACCCCCCCCCCCGGGGACCUCGCCUGGGCCGACGCGCUAGCCUGACGGCCAGGACAGCUGGUGACCCUGACACCUCCUCCUACUGCCCUUUCCCAGUGCACCCUUGGCCAAGCAGCCCAUGCCCGAUGCUCGGGGAGCAGUGGACACGCACCCCACACUCCUGAGUUGAAGGGGAGAAACCAAAGCAAGGUCCGCUUCCAUCGUGAUCUGAUGUUGAGGUCAGCUCCUCUUAGCUCUUCCCAGGCCUGGACCUCCGUCCUCCUGGGGUGACGGGGUGGCCUGUAUCCUUUAGGUUCUGUCCUUGUGCCCAGCAGCCCGCCGGUGUCCCCGAGGAAGCCUCUACCUGCUCAAGCAGGUCAACUGCAAAGCAGGUCUCACAACUCAGCAGGAAGCCCUGGGCUCACACAAGCGCUUUGUCAGAGGCCCCGCCCGCACCACCUGCCGGGCUCCGGCUCUGGCCCCUGCUUGCUGGCUUCCUCUUCCGCGAGGCAGCCCUGAAGACUCCCUUUGCCCAAACAGCUCUGUCCCCCUCUACAGGCAGGUCCCUUCUAGGCCCUGGGAAUGUCCUGCCUGCUAAGGGCAUCCGUAUUGCUGGACAGUCUGUGCUGACAGUGGACUCUGGGGUGGGGGGUGUCUUGGGCCACCCAGAAUCAGCCUCACCUUUGGGGGGGGCUAGUCAGCCAUGUAACUGGGACUGGCCCAUGAUUAAACUGGCCGGGAGGUGCAGGCCUGUCCGAGCCGCUCCCCGGGAGGGGCGGGGGCUCUGAGCCUGGGUCCGGGGGCGACCUGCUCUCUCUCUUGUGCUGAUUCCUUUCGCUGCCAUAACCCAUCCCCGUGGGGACCACAGCUGUCCCUCCUGCGAAUCCUUCCAGGGGAUCGCUGAAUCCAAGGUGCUCUCGGGGUCGGUGAACUUGGCACUGGCCCUGCCUGACUGUCUCUGGAGCCUCGGCUGAGAGUGGGAUCUGGAACCAGCUCGCUUCCCAUCACGCUAGUUACCCCGACCUGCCCGGUGCUGGGUUUUACUCCAUUUCACUCUUUGCAGCAGACUUUUUGUUUCAGUCUUUUUGAAACUCACCAAAUAAUGCUGGGGAGUUCCCGUCAUGAUGCAGUGGAAACAAAUGUGGCUAGGAUCCCUGAGGACACAGGUUCGAUCCCUGGCCUUGCUUAGUGGGUUAAGGAGCUGGCACUGCAGUGAGCUGUGGUGUAGGUCGCAGAUGGGGCUUGGAUCCCGCGUUUCUGUGACUGUGGUGUAGUUUGGUGGCUGUAGCUCCGAUUUGACCCCUAGCCUGGAACCUCCUG